UACGGAGGGUGCAAGCGUUAUCCGGAUUCACUGGGUUUAAAGGGUGUGUAGGCGGGCUAUUAAGUCAGUGGUGAAAUCUCCGAGCUUAACUUGGAAACUGCCAUUGAUACUAUUAGUCUUGAAUUCUGUUGAGGUUGGCGGAAUAUAUCAUGUAGCGGUGAAAUGCAUAGAUAUGAUAUAGAACCCCGAUUGCGAAGGCAGCUAACUAAGCAGAUAUUGACGCUGAGGCACGAAAGCGUGGGGAUCAAACAGG
rnacentral:rRNA from 1 species